UACGAAGGGGGCUAGCGUUGCUCGGAAUUACUGGGCGUAAAGGGCGCGUAGGCGGCACUGUUAGUCAGGCGUGAAAUUCCUGGGCUCAACCUGGGGACUGCGCUUGAUACGGCAGAGCUAGAGGAUGGAAGAGGCUCGCGGAAUUCCCAGUGUAGAGGUGAAAUUCGUAGAUAUUGGGAAGAACACCGGUGGCGAAGGCGGCUCACUGGCUCAUUACUGACGCUCAGGCGCGACAGCGUGGGGAUCAAACAGG
rnacentral:rRNA from 1 species